rnacentral:rRNA from 1 species
GGCGUACGGGUGAGUAACGCGUAGGUAAUCUACCCCAGAGUCUGGAAUAACCUGCCGAAAGGCGGGCUAAUACUGGAUAGAGCGACGGAAUCCGUAAUUGGGUUUUUCGGGAAAGGGAGGAAGCAAUUCCCUUCGCUCUGGGAUGAGCCUGCGUCUCAUUAGCUAGUUGGCGGGGUAAAGGCCCACCAAGGCUAUGAUGGGUAGCUGGUCUGAGAGGAUGAUCAGCCACACUGGAACUGAAACACGGUCCAGACUCCUACGGGAGGCAGCAGUGGGGAAUCUUGCGCAAUGGACGAAAGUCUGACGCAGCCACGCCGCGUGAGUGAAGAAGGCCUUCGGGUUGUAAAGCUCUGUCGAGCGGGACGAAAGGUCAUUGGGUGAAUAGCCCAGUGGUUUGACGGUACCGCUAAAGGAAGCACCGGCUAACUCCGUGCCAGCAGCCGCGGUAAUACGGAGGGUGCAAGCGUUGCUCGGAAUUAUUGGGCGUAAAGGGUAGGUAGGUGGUCUCAUUUGUCUGGGGUGAAAGCCUUGAGCUUAACUCAAGAAGUGCCCCAGAAACGGUGAGACUAGAGUCCUGGAGAGGGUCGUGGAAUUCCCGGUGUAGCGGUGAAAUGCGUAGAGAUCGGGAGGAACACCAGAGGCGAAGGCGGCGACCUGGACAGGAACUGACACUCAACUACGAAAGCGUGGGGAGCAAACAGGAUUAGAUACCCUGGUAGUCC